rnacentral:rRNA from 1 species
ACGGAAGGCAGCAGUGGGGGAUAUUGCACAAUGGGGGAAACCCUGAUGCAGCGACGCCGCGUGAGCGAAGAAGUAUUUCGGUAUGUAAAGCUCUAUCAGCAGGGAAGAAAAUGACGGUACCUGACUAAGAAGCUCCGGCUAAAUACGUGCCAGCAGCCGCGGUAAUAUGUAUGGAGCAAGCGUUAUCCGGAUUUACUGGGUGUAAAGGGAGCGUAGACGGUUUGCCAAGUCUGAUGUGAAAGGUGGGGGCUCAACCCCCAAACUGCAUUGGAAACUGGUAGACUAGAGUGUCGGAGAGGUAAGUGGAAUUCCUAGUGUAGCGGUGAAAUGCGUAGAUAUUAGGAGGAACACCAGUGGCGAAGGCGGCUUACUGGACGAUAACUGACGUUGAGGCUCGAAAGCGUGGGGAGCAAACAGGAUUAGAUACCCUGGUA